rnacentral:lncRNA from 1 species
CUCCCAACUCUCCUUCACGGGGGCCCUGGCAUGGGGAGGAGGGGAGCGGCGGGGAGGCUGCAGGCCGAGGCCCAGCCCCUCUCUCAGCCUUGGCAGACAGGCGUUUCUGGACCGGGUCUCUGCUCCCACCAGCUGUGUCCGCUCUGCACCCCCUCAGGCCCAGCAGGCAGUGGGCAGCUCCAGAGGGAGUCCGUUUUCCAGUGCCACUGCCAAGAUGCACCGCAGAAGGCAGUCCUAGGACCCCGGCUCCAACGUCCUGCCCACCUCCUCUGCCCUCUGGGGUCUGCUGUCAAGAUGCUGACAGACGGGGCAGGGGGAACGCAGAAGAGCAGUCAGCCCCUGGGGGGACUCUCCUCCCCAUCCCUGCCCACUGAGCCAGCUCUGCCAACACCACCCACGCCUGCAGUCUGGGAUCCGCAGCCCCUCCGCAGGCCGGCAGAGGCUAGGGCAGUGGUGAGGACCCCGUCAGCAAGCUCUCUCCGCCACGUGCCGAACCCGUGUGUGGAUCAGUGAGUUCUGGGCUGGCAAGGCCUCUGAAGAGUCUCCUGGGCCCGGAGCUCCCCUCGAGACAGCAGGGGUUGCUGACAGAUACUGGGCCAGCAGGACCAGCCUAACAGGCACCUCCAGCUGGCGGGCCCCAUGCCGUGUGUCAGCCUCUGCGGCCCGCACUUCCCAGACGUCAUCCCAAAUGACUGGCUAAGCCCCGUGAGUAGAAACUAUUAUCCUUGUACCCCUUUUACAGGUGAGGGAACCGAGGCACAGAGAGGUUAAGUGAGUUGCCCACAGUCACCCAGAGAACGAGCCGCACGCAGUGCCCGCAUUUAAACCCUCAUGCUGACUCCAAGAGAAGGCGAAAGUGUCCAGCUCACCCGUACCGGAAGAGGAAAGGGGUGACAGGGGACAGCAGCCCAGAGCACCUCGGGAAGUGACUGGGGGCAGGGCCGGGACCAGGUCAGGCAAGCGAGGAGCACGAGGAGAUGGAGCUUAACCCUCCCUGCCCUUGCGUGUGGGCUGGACUCAGUGACUCGGGUCUAAAGAAUAGAGUAUGGAAACAGCAAAGCAGUAGCUGCACAGUGGAGAAGGCUGCCAGACACCACCGUAACCAAGUGAUCCGGUGCACAUCCGUCACCAGGACAUCAUGCUGAUGUCGGGAACACCCCCAUGGACGUCAUGUAGAUCUCAUGAACGUCCUCAGGGGGGGUCACGUGGACGUCAUGAACAUCCCCAGGGACGUCAUGGGGAUGUCGUGAACUCCCUGAUCAGAAGGGAUGAGAGGGCACUUCAUCUCCCAUCCCAUUCCCCCAAAACCUGUAACCCCAGACUAAUCAUGAGAAAAACACCAGACAAACCCACAUCCAGGGAUGUUUGACAAAUACCUUCGGGGACCUACAAAUACAAGGACUCUUCAACACUGUCAAGGUCAUGAAAAAUAAGGAAAGACUGAGAAAUGGCCAUAGACAGAGGAGACUCAUAACUGAAUGCAAUGUGGCCCCCUGAACUGGAUCUUAGAACGGAAAAAGGAUAAACAGUGGAAAAAACAAAUUCUGGAGUUUAGUUAAUAGUCAUGCUCCCCUGUUAAUUUCGUAGUUUUGACAAAGGUACCACAGCAAACAGUUGUAUAAGAUAUUAACAUCGGGGAAGGUGGGGGAAAGGCACACAGGAACUCUCCGUGUCGUCUUUGCAACUUUUCUAUAAAUCUAAAACUACGGCAAAAUGAAAAGUCUAUUUAGAAAAGCAUUUCCUCCUAAUUAAUAAAGGAACACAUGUUCACCAUAGAUAAUUCAUAAUAUAAACAAAUAAGAAACCGGCAGUUGCUUACGUCGACUCUGUUAACAUUCCAGGGCAUUUCAAUGCAGUCUUUUUUCCUGUGCACGUUUGGAACAAUUGAGAACAGGUUAUAAUCACCAUUUUGUACUCUGCUGGGUACGAGCACACUCCUUCAGCAUGCAAGGAUUUG